rnacentral:rRNA from 1 species
UACAGGGGGUGCAAACGUUGCUCGGAAUUAUUGGGCGUAAAGCGCGCGUAGGCGGCUACUUAAGUCGGAUGUGAAAGCCCUUGGCUCAACUGAGGAAGUGCACCCGAAACUGAGUGGCUUGAGUACUAAAGAGGGUCGCGGAAUUCCCGGUGUAGAGGUGAAAUUCGUAGAUAUCUGGAGGAACACCGGUGGCGAAGGCGGCAUCCUGGACCGGUAUUGACGCUGAGGCGCGAAAGCUAGGGGAGCAAACGGG